rnacentral:rRNA from 1 species
GAUGAACGCUGGCGGCGUGCCUAAUACAUGCAAGUCGAGCGAAUAGACGAGGAGCUUGCUCCUCUGACGUUAGCGGCGGACGGGUGAGUAACACGUGGAUAACCUACCUAUAAGACUGGGAUAACUUCGGGAAACCGGAGCUAAUACCGGAUAAUAUAUUUAACCGCAUGGUUCAAUAGUGAAAGACGGUUUUGCUGUCACUUAUAGAUGGAUCCGCGCCGCAUUAGCUAGUUGGUAAGGUAACGGCUUACCAAGGCAACGAUGCGUAGCCGACCUGAGAGGGUGAUCGGCCACACUGGAACUGAGACACGGUCCAGACUCCUACGGGAGGCAGCAGUAGGGAAUCUUCCGCAAUGGGCGAAAGCCUGACGGAGCAACGCCGCGUGAGUGAUGAAGGUCUUCGGAUCGUAAAACUCUGUUAUUAGGGAAGAACAAAUGUGUAAGUAACUAUGCACGUCUUGACGGUACCUAAUCAGAAAGCCACGGCUAACUACGUG